rnacentral:rRNA from 1 species
CAGCGCCACGAGUGGUAAUCGCUAUUAUUGGGCCUAAAGCAUCCGUAGCCGGCUCUGUAAGUUUUCGGUUAAAUCUGUACGCUCAACGUACAGGCUGCCGGGAAUACUGCAGCGCUAGGGAGUGGGAGAGGUAGACGGUACUCGGUAGGAAGGGGUAAAAUCCUUUGAUCUAUUGAUGACCACCUGUGGCGAAGGCGGUCUACCAGAACACGUCCGACGGUGAGGGAUGAAAGCUGGGGGAGCAAACCGGAUUAGAUACCCGAGUAGUCC